rnacentral:rRNA from 1 species
GUCUAUGGCCACGCUACCCUGAACAAGCCCGAUCCCAUCUGAUCUUGGAAGCCAAGCAGGGUCAGGCCUGGUUAGUACUUGGAUGGGAGACCACCUAGGAAGACCAGGUGCUAUAGGCG